rnacentral:lncRNA from 10 species
GUCUUGGAGAGUCGCCUUUAGGAGCGCUCGAAAAGGCCACGGGCCCUAGGAUUUGUUUGACGGAAAGCUCAAAGAAGAGUGGAGCUAAGAAGGGCUUCCCAGGCUCUGGGGGAAAGCCGAAGACGCGAGAUCCUAGGCUCAGUCGAUCCUGCCUCUUCCCUUGGGCGCAUUGUGACCUAAGGGGAUUCAGUGCCCUUUCUGAGCCUCAGUUUUCCCCUCUAAAAUGGGGCUGGCUAAUGUUCCCAAGCCCAAGAAAGAGAAAAGCCCUAACACCAGGGGCUGGGGAGUCCAGUCCGAAGCCUUCUUCAGCCUCCUAGGCCUGCCCCGCUUCCAAAUAACCCCUAGCGGGGUAGCGUCACUGUCUCCAUGGAGACAGGGGCCCGCCCCCGCCUUAAUCCCUCUCCACCUCUGCAUAAUGGGGAAAAUAGCACUGCAUGAUGACAAAUUCCGGAGACCAAAAUAGGGUCCAACGCAUCCUGAGACCUCGAGCUGGUAACGUACAGGGAAGGUGAACAGUGAGUCAGCCCUUCCUUCCGCUAAGUCAACAUAGUGGCCUUAUUCCCAUCACUCCAGGCUGGGAAAGGACAAACAUACAAGAAAUGCUUUUAAUCACGGAAUAAGACUAAGCCUCAAGCCCCCUCAUCUGCCAAAGAGUGUGCUCUGCUGUCAAACCUCAAAGUCAUUGAGAAACAAACCCUGAUAAUCUCACCCAGCUUCAAGACCAAGGGAGUCCUAGUGUCAUGGAGAAGAGCAAGGAGGGGCCCAGGGCUGCCGGUAAAUGACCAAGGGCAAUAAUGCCAGACGAACAGAAGUACCAUCCCAGCCCAGGGUGCAUGAGCGGAGGCAGGCAGGCAGCAGGUGGCGCCAUGGGCCGGGCUUGUUUCCUGGCUGUUCUGCAGAUUUCAGAGGUGGAGGCCUCAGGGGGCCACAGGGAAUGUCUGUGUAAACUCAUCCCUGGGAAGACAGAGAAGCUGCUCUGACACCUCAGGGGAACAGAAUGGCAGGGGACAGACCAUAAGACUGUGCAACAUUUCUCCUUUUCCUUGCCUUUUCGCCCUCUUUCAGAGGCCCCACUUCUACACCCCGUUUUCUUCCGGAGCACACAAAUCCCAGCCCUUGGGCGUCCCCUGUUCUCAGGCUGCCAUCGUGAGGAAAAUACCUGAUAAACUAAACCACACAAGGAUGAAGAGAUGCCCUCCAGAAGGUGCAUACUUUUAAAAAGAGGACCCCCUAGAGAGAGCAAUGUUUAAAGGAACCCAUCUGAUACAGUAGAAUUUCAGAACCUCAAGGCAACCAGAGUUUCCCAGUACCACUUAAACAUCACAACACACAUAACCUUCUGCUCUGCUAGGAGUUUAUCAACUGAUUAGCCGUAACUCACUUUGUGUGCAGAUCUUGGAAGAAUGCUAAUAAUAAUAACUGAUGUUUACUAAAAUCCAGGUGUUGUGUAAAACACUUUAUGUAUCUCAAUGUUUUUAAUCUUCUUAAUACCCCUAUUAAAUAGAUAUUAGUAGACCCACUUUACAGAUAAGACUUGUGCAA